GAUGAACGCUGGCGGCGUGCCUAAUACAUGCAAGUCGAGCGAACGGACGAGAAGCUUGCUUCUCUGAUGUUAGCGGCGGACGGGUGAGUAACACGUGGAUAACCUACCUAUAAGACUGGGAUAACUUCGGGAAACCGGAGCUAAUACCGGAUAAUAUUUUGAACCGCAUGGUUCAAAAGUGAAAGACGGUCUUGCUGUCACUUAUAGAUGGAUCCGCGCUGCAUUAGCUAGUUGGUAAGGUAACGGCUUACCAAGGCAACGAUGCAUAGCCGACCUGAGAGGGGGAUCGGCCACACUGGAACUGAGACACGGUCCAGACUCCUACGGGAGGCAGCAGUAGGGAAUCGUACGCAAUGGGCGAAAGCCUGACGGAGCAACGCCGAGUGAGUGAUGAAGGUCUUCGGAUCGUAAAACUCUGUUAUUAGGGAAGAACAUAUGUGUAAGUAACUGUGCACAUCUUGACGGUACCUAAUCAGAAAGCCACGGCUAACUACGUG
rnacentral:rRNA from 1 species